rnacentral:rRNA from 1 species
GACGAACGCUGGCGGCGUGCUUAACACAUGCAAGUCGAACGGAAAGGCCCUGCUUUUGUGGGGUGCUCGAGUGGCGAACGGGUGAGUAACACGUGAGUAACCUGCCCUUGACUUUGGGAUAACUUCAGGAAACUGGGGCUAAUACCGGAUAGGAGCUCCUGCUGCAUGGUGGGGGUUGGAAAGUUUCGGCGGUUGGGGAUGGACUCGCGGCUUAUCAGCUUGUUGGUGGGGUAGUGGCUUACCAAGGCUUUGACGGGUAGGCGGCCUGAGAGGGUGACCGGCCUCAUGAGGACUGAGAUACGGCCCAGACUCGUACGGGAGGCAGCAGUGGGGAAUAUUGCCCAAUGGGCCGAAGCCUGAUGCAGCAACGCCGCGUUCGGGAUGACGGCCUUCGGGUUGUAAACCGCUUUCGCCUGUGACGAAGCGUGAGUGACGGUAAUGGGUAAAGAAGCACCGGCUAACUACGUG